CCAUUCUUUGAGAAGAGAGUAGCCCUUUUGAUUCCGGUCGCCAAUUUGUGCAAGCGAAUCUUAUUAGAGCUCUCUCUCGUAAUUGAAAAAAAUUUCAUACAAUUGAGGUGUCUUAAUUGUAAGAGAUUCAUUGUAAUUGUGAGAUGACGCUGAUGAAGUCCCCUUGUCUAGAUACGAGCUCUCACUGAUCUAGCGGCUCGAGUCCUUGAUUGAAUCGUUUAUCCAAUUGUAAUUGUGAGAGACUCUCAAUAAGGCCCACUUAUCUAAACGGGUGUUCGGGCUAAGCAGGUCGUAUAGGUGAACCCUAUCUAGGGCUUCUCACAACUGUCUAUCCUGUUAGUUUAUGUUUUGGCACAUUCGGUUUGCAUGUAAGUUGAUGAAAAUGAGUUUCUUUGAAGGCCCUGUUCGGACCGCCAGAAGCCGGGUCCGGACCCAAUUUCCAGCAACCCUACUUUGAAGGGCCUAUCCGGACCGCCAGAAGUAAGGUCCGGACCCCAUAUCCAACAAGCUGCAUUUGAAGGGCCUGUCCAGACCGUCAGAAGUCGAGUCCGGACACAAUAUCCAGCAAGCUGCAUUUGAAGGGGCUGUCUGGACCGCCAAAAGCCAGGUUCGAACCCAAUUUCUAGCAAGCUCACUUUGCAUGGCCUGUCCGAACACAAGGCAUGGCUGUUCGGACACAACAAGUUUACGCAUAUGUAACUCUAGCUGUGUCCGGACACAUACUUAUCCCUAUCCGGACAUGGUUGCUAAAUUGCUAAUUAUUUUCUAUUUAAACAAUCUGGUUUGCCCAUUAUACGUACGUAUUUUGAGAGCAAAUACAGAGAGCUUAGAGAGAUAUUGUUCUAGUUUCUGUGAGUAAAGAUUAAAUACGCGAAGCCAAUCGGAGUUCCGGUGAAAGGAAAUCUUAUAGAAGAAUUGUGCCAGAUGUUCUGGAAAUGGCUACUGUGAUAGAAGUCAAGUGGGUCGCUUGUCGUGUGCAAGGAAGAGUCAAUUGCAAA